AAUUUAAUUUUGAGGAUAUAACGCCUUUCCUCAGGUCAGAAUGUAAUUUGUUAUCUCUUUUGGUUUAUGGUUUGGGUAAGAAAACCAAGAAGUAGUCAAACUAGUGUUCAUUUUGUAGUUCAUAGUGCCUUAAAGAUAGAAUCCGCAGGUUGUGGGCGCCUCCAUGCCGCCCCACUUCUUCUGUUGUGUUUUCACUUUGAACGAAAACAAGGGGAUGGAGCCCUGAGCCGCCUCGGGCUGGCCUUCUGGGCAAGGUGUGUCUUCGCACUAAAUCCUGUCUACUCAAACAACCCUGCUGCCAUCCUCCGGAGCUGAAAGUCACUUGCAAGCUACAGUCGCCAGAGCAGACGAAGCAAACAAGCUAGCUAACUUGUUUGCAGAUAAACUGUUCUGGUAGCAUGGUCAGCAUUUUCAGAAAAUGUAGUCAGAAACAAGCAUCAUUCUCAGUUCUUGGAUCUGAAUCAACUCGUCCCCAAAAGAGAAAAAGAAGCACGAAAAAGACUGCUCAUGACCAAUCCAGAAACCGGAUAAACAUUGGAAUUAAUUUUGGAAGGUGGAAGAGUGUUGCCGAAAUGGCCAUCAUCCUCAUGAACAGGGAGAUACUGGUGGAGACAGUCUGAUUUCGAAGGGAACCUGAGGUUGUAGAAGUUGUGGUUGUGGAAAAUUCCAAAAGAUAGCGCACAGGCCACCUCUUCUUUACUCUUCACGCUCAGUAGAGGCUCCAGCACCGCACACAAAGUCCGGUAGUUAUUGGUAACAUACUCGGCAAACUCCUUGUACAGCUCCAUGGGCAGGAUACUC